CGUGUGAUAUGUUUCCAGGUAAUGUUUUGUGAUAUGUUUCCUGGUAAUGCUGUGUGAUAUAUUUUCAGGUAAUGUCGUGAUGUGUUUCCAGGUAAUGUUGUGUGAUAUGUUUCCAGGUAAUGUCGUGUGAUGUGUUUCCAGGUAAUGUCGUGUGAUGUGUUUCCAGGUAAUGU